GGGUGAGUAACGCGUAUGUAACCUACCCUGUACAGGGGGAUAACCCGGAGAAAUUCGGACUAAUAUCCCAUAAUAUUAUGAGAGGGCAUCUGAUUAUAAUUAAAGUUCCGGCGGUACGGGAUGGGCAUGCGUAACAUUAGCUAGUUGGUAGGGUAACGGCUACCAAGGCUUGAUGUUAGGGGUCCUGAAAGGGUGGUCCCCCACACUGGUACUUGAUACACGGACCAGACUCCUACGGGAGGCAGCAGUGAGGAAUAUUGGUCAAUGGGCGCAAGCCUGAACCAGACAUCCCGCGUGCAGGAAGACGGCCCUAUGGGUUGUAAACUGCUUUUCCAGGGGACGAAUAGUUUCUACGUGUAGAGACCUGACGGUACCUUGGGAAUAAGCAUCGGCUAACUCCGUGC
rnacentral:rRNA from 1 species